ACUGCUCAGUAACACGUGGACAACCUACCCUCAGCACGGGGAUAAACCCGGGAAACUGGGUAUAAUACCCGAUAGUUCUGGUUAGCUGGAAUGCUAUCAGGACGAAAGCUCCGGCGGCCGAGGAUGGGUCUGCGGCCUAUCAGGUAGUAGUGGGUGUAACGUACCUACUAGCCUACGACGGGUACGGGUUGUGAGAGCAAGAGCCCGGAGAUGGAUUCUGAGACACGAAUCCAGGCCCUACGGGGUGCAGCAGGCGCGAAAACUUUACAAUGCUGGCAACAGCGAUAAGGGGACCUCGAGUGCCAGGAUACAAUCUUGGCUGUCGUGAUGCCUAAAAAGCAUUGCAUAGCAAGGGCCGGGCAAGACCGGUGCCAGCCGCCGCGGUAACACCGGCGGCUCGAGUGGUAACCGCUAUUAUUGGGUCUAAAGGGUCUGUAGCCGGCCGGAUAAGUCUUUUGGGAAAUCCAGCUGCUCAACAGUUGGGCUUUCAGAAGAUACUGUUCGGCUCGAGGCCGGGAGAGGUGAGAGGUACUUCAGGGGUAGGGGUGAAAUCUUGUAAUCCUUGAAGGACCACCAGUGGCGAAGGCGUCUCACCAGAACGGACCUGACGGCAAGGGACGAAAGCUAGGGGCACGAACCGGAUUAGAUACCCGGGUAGUCCUAGCCGUAAACGAUACUCGCUAGGUGUCAGCCACGGUGCGACCGUGGUUGGUGCCGUAGGGAAGCCGUGAAGCGAGCCACCUGGGAAGUACGGUCGCAAGGCUGAAACUUAAAGGAAUUGGCGGGGGAGCA
rnacentral:rRNA from 1 species